GUAGGCUGCAACCCGCCUGCAUGAAGUCGGAAUUGCUAGUAAUCGUAGGUCAGCAUACUACGGUGAAUACGUUCCCGGGCCUUGUACACACCGCCCGUCAAACCAUGAGAGUUGGCAACACCCGAAGUCGGUAGUCUAACCGCAAGGAGGACGCCGCCGAAGGUGGGGUUGAUGAUUAGGGUUAAGUCGUAACAAGGUAUC
rnacentral:rRNA from 1 species